UACGUAGGGUCCGAGCGUUGUCCGGAUUCAUUGGGCGUAAAGAGCUCGUAGGCGGUUUCGUAAGUCGGAUGUGAAAACUCAGGGCUCAACCCGGAGACGCCAUCCGAUACUGCGAUGACUUGAGUCUGGUAGGGGAUCACGGAAUACCUGGUGUAGCGGUGAAAUGCGCAGAUAUCAGGUGGAACACCGGUGGCGAAGGCGGUGAUCUGGGCCAGUACUGACGCUGAGGAGCGAAAGCGUGGGGAGCAAACAGG
rnacentral:rRNA from 1 species